GAUGAACGCUAGCGACAGGCCUAACACAUGCAAGUCGAGCGACCGGCGCACGGGUGCGUAACGCGUAUGCAACUUGCCUCACAGAGGGGGAUAACCCGUCGAAAGACGGACUAAUACCGAGUCCUGUGAGAUCGGCAUGCGUCCCAUUAGCUAGUUGGUGAGGUAACGGCACACCAAGGCAACGAUGGGUAGGGGAACUGAGAGGUAGAACCCCCGCACUGGUACUGAGACACGGACCAGACUGCGAGGGGAGACAGGAGAGAGUAAUAUAGGGCAAGGAGCGAUAGCGCGAACCAGCCAAGUCGCGGAAAGAAUGACUGGGUAUGGAAGGUAAUCUACUGUGGAAGGGGAAUAGGUACCCGAAGAAUAAGCAUCGGCUAACUCCGUGCCAGCAGCCGCGGUAAUAC
rnacentral:rRNA from 1 species